UACGGGGGGGGCAAGCGUUGUUCGGAAUUACUGGGCGUAAAGGGCGCGUAGGCGGUCUUGUAAGUCUUGUGUGAAAUCCCUCGGCUUAACUGAGGAACUGCACGGGAUACUGCGAGACUUGAGAUCGGGAGAGGGAAGCGGAAUUCCGGGUGUAGCGGUGAAAUGCGUAGAUAUCCGGAGGAACACCGGUGGCGAAGGCGGCUUCCUGGACCGACACUGACGCUGAGGCGCGAAAGCUAGGGGAGCAAACGGG
rnacentral:rRNA from 1 species